rnacentral:rRNA from 1 species
CAAUAGCGUAUAUUAAAGUUGUUGCAGUUAAAAAGCUCGUAGUUGGAUUUCGGGGCAGCCUGGCUGGUCCGCCGCAAGGCGAGUACUGGUCAGCCGCCCUUCCUCUCGAAAGCCCCGACUGCUCUUCGUUGCAGUGGUCGGGUAGUUCGGGACGUUUACUUUGAAAAAAUUAGAGUGUUCAAGGCAGGCCUACGCCUGAAUACAUUAGCAUGGAAUAAUGGAAGAGGACCUCGGUCCUAUUUUGUUGGUUUCCAGGGCCGAAGUAAUGAUUAAGAGGGACAGUUGGGGGCAUUCGUAUUUAAUUGUCAGGGGUGAAAUUCUCGGAUUUAUGAAAGACGAACAACUGCGAAAGCAUUUGCCAAGGAUGUUUUCAUUAA